rnacentral:rRNA from 1 species
UACGUAGGGUGCAAGCGUUGUCCGGAAUUAUUGGGCGUAAAGAGCUCGUAGGCGGUUCGUCGCGUCGAAUGUGAAAACCCGGGGCUCAACUCCGGGCCUGCAUUCGAUACGGGCGGACUAGAGUUCGGUAGGGGAGACUGGAAUUCCUGGUGUAGCGGUGAAAUGCGCAGAUAUCAGGAGGAACACCGGUGGCGAAGGCGGGUCUCUGGGCCGAUACUGACGCUGAGGAGCGAAAGCGUGGGGAGCGAAACAGG